AUUGAACGCUGGCGGCAUGCCUUACACAUGCCAGUCGAACGGUAACAGGUUAAGCUGACGAGUGGCGAACGGGUGAGUAAUACAUCGGAACGUGCCCAGUAGUGGGGGAUAGCCCGGCGAAAGCCGGAUUAAUACCGCAUACGACCUAAGGGUGAAAGGGGGGGAUCGCAAGACCUCUCGCUAUUGGAGCGGCCGAUGUCAGAUUAGCUAGUUGGUGGGGUAAAAGCUCACCGAGGCGACGAUCUGUAGCUGGUCUGAGAGGACGACCAGCCACACUGGGACUGAGACACGGCCCAGACUCCUACGGGAGGCAGCAGUGGGGAAUUUUGGACAAUGGGCGCAAGCCUGAUCCAGCCAUGCCGCGUGCGGGAAGAAGGCCUUCGGGUUGUAAACCGCUUUUGUCAGGGAAGAAAUCCUUUGGGUUAAUACCUCGGGGGGAUGACGGUACCUGAAGAAUAAGCACCGGCUAACUACGUG
rnacentral:rRNA from 1 species